rnacentral:sRNA from 1 species
GCUGGGCAUGGUGGUGCAUACCUGUAAUCCCAGCACCUUGGGUGGCUGAGGCAGGAGUAUCAUGAAUUCAAAGUCAGCCUCAGAAACUUAGUGAGGACCUAAGCAACUCAGUGAGAUUCUGCCUCUA